CUAGAGCCUGUUUCAGAUUCUGUGUCUCCCUCUCUCUGACCCUCCCCUGUUCAUGCUCUGUCUCUGUCUCAAAAAUAAAUAAAUGUUAAAAAAACAAACAAACAUGGGACUCAAACUCACCACCACGAGAUCAAGUCACAUCCUCCCUCCAUGUACUGAGCCAGCCAGUUACCCCCCAAAAAAUGUUUCUAAAAAUAAAAAGACCUGCUAGUCACUGAAAUUCCAGCAGAUGGCAGACACUUCUGUUCACCACAACCAUGCUUGAAAGACCUAGGAGCAAACUUUCUAGAAUUGACCCAGAAACAAAAAGGAAGAAAUGAGAUGCACAAUCUCUACUUUGACCAGAAACAAUGUCCUUCAACACUUUUGAGACAAAGCCAAUUCUCCAGAUCUGUACAAAAAUAACAGCUACACCUAAAAAAGAAAGAGCUAAGAACCCAGAUAUCAGACCACUCAAUGGAGUAACGCACAGGAUGUCACCACACCUGGUUCCCAGAAAGAGGUGACGUGAAGUGGUGACUAUGGAGAUUUCGGCCAGUGUUGACAUGUGUCAGCCGGAUGGGUUGGCCACAUCUGAUGGGAGUUCCCCUCUCACACACUGUAGCGGUCUUCCCCCGUAUCCUCCAGUAACUAUUGCUGUCAUCCACAGAGGUUACACCUGUCACUGACUGCUGCCCACUACCUGCAGUCAAAAAAAAAAAAAAAAAAAAAAAAGGAAGGAAAAGGGUGAGCUCAACCAAUCACUCUCUUUCCUAAGGCCAAUAAUGCACCCUGUGCAUAAAAUAGGUUUGGAGGAGUAGAGAGGAAACCCUGAGCUUGAUAAUAUUUUUUUGUCUACAGCAUUAAAAAAUAUGUGAAAAAUACUAAACAUGUUUACAUAGUAUUGUCUGAUAAAUUAUAAUUAACAGUGUACUGUGUCAGAAAACUCUAAGCAUUUGCGUCAAAGGGCACUAAAUAAAUGCACUUACGUUCAUUUUUUUGAAGCAUGAGUAUUGUUUACCUAUAUAUGAUAGCCUGGAUAGCACCUAGGAUUUGUCAGGUGUCUAAUCAUACAAUUGAAACUUAUUUACUAUUAUUCAACGGUGUACUACUGUCACAUCGUGUUACAAUGUAUUACUUUUGUCACAUUUCACAAUUAAAAGGAGAUUAGUUUUUGUUGUCAACUUUAA